AGAAACCUCCUCUAGUCAGCUUUAAUCCUCGCAACGUUCGAUUGUUAAUUAUAUGAUGGCGGAGGCCAAGGCGGUGGCUCCUGCGGUGGGGGCGAGUCCGGCGGAGGAGGGGAGGAGCAUGACGGUGGAGGCGAGUCCGGUGGAGGAGGGGAGGAGCGAGACGGUGGAGGCGAGUCCGGUGGAGGAGGGGAGGAGCAUGACGGUGGAGGCGAGUCCGGUGGUGGAGGGGAGGAGCGAGACGGUGGCUGCUGCGGUGGAGGCGAGUCCGGUGGUGGAGGGGAGGAGCAAGACGGUGGUGCUGGUCGCCGUGGACGACAGCGAAGCAAGCUACCGCGCGCUCGAGUGGGCCGUGCGGCACGUGGCGGCGACGGCCGGCAUGGCCGGCGCCGGAGCGGUGGAGCUCGUUGUCAUCCACGCCAAGCCGCCCACUUCCACCGCCGUCAACAUGGGCGGCCCCGGUGCGUUAGCCUCCUCUUUACCGCUUCAUCGUNNNNNNNNNNNNNNNNNNNNNNNNNNNNNNNNNNNNNNNNNNNNNNNNNNNNNNNNNNNNNNNNNNNNNNNNNNNNNNNNNNNNNNNNNNNNNNNNNNNNCACACACACACACACAAACUUGCCAAAUCCAUUUUUCUGAGAGAGAUCCACCUACUCAUGUGUUGAGAUCAAGAGAUUCCAAUCCAACCAUUUGAAACUUAAUAUAUAGCCUUCCCAAGUUUCUUUCCACAAAAUCAAUCUCUCCUACCCAUGCCAAAUAUGUGAGAGAGUGAUUGGGUGUUGAGGAGACUGUCUUUUGAAGCACAAGAGCAAGGAGUUCAUCGUUCUGCCGUAUCUAUUACCUUUUGGACGGUGAUGCCUCCUAGAUUGGUUAGGUGUCGCUUGGGAGCCUCUUACUUCGUGUUGUAGAGUUGAACCAAGAAGUUUGUACGGGCAAGGAUAUCGCCUACUUCGUGAAGAUCUACCGUGAGUGAGGCUAGUCCUAUGUGGAAGUAAGCCAUGGUGGAAUAGACAAAGCCGCUUCUUCAUGGACCCCUUGUGGGUGGAGCCCUCCAUGGACUCUCGCAGUCGUUACCCUCCGUGGGUUGAAGUCUCCACUAACGUGGACGUACGAUAGCGCCACCUAUUGGAACCGCGCCAAAAAUCGCCGUGUCAAUCUUCGCGAUUGAUCUUCCCAAACUCUACUCCUUACUUACAUGUGCAAUGUCUUUACUUCUCGCUGCCAAAUUGGUUGACUAGCAUGUGUAGGGCGCACUAGACUUGUUAUAAUUGCUGAAAUCUGCCAACCAUUAAAAUUGGAAAAAGGCUAGGAUUUUAAUUUAUGCAAGUAGUCUAUUCACCCCCACCCCCCUCUAGACACCCCUUCUAUCGAUCCCACAAUUGGUAUCAGCGCUUUGGUCUCCAUAGCCUUGGUUUAAUCACCAUUGGAGGAAGAUGGAUGUGCCUGGUUUGGGGAAUCCUAGUUGUAGAGUGCUUAUUCUCAAUGGAGAGCAUUAUAUAUAAUGGAAAGAUGAAAUGCUUGAUAUAUUCCAUAAACUCCAUUGGGCCAAGUAUGUUGAAUACCCCUAUGUGCCUCCCAUUGAUCCCUUACAUCCUUCUCAUGAUGAUGAAGUUAAUAUGCUUGGCAAUGUUAAAACUGUUAACCUUAUCAUUAGAGGAUUGCCAAGAAAUGUGCUUAAUCAAAUGAAGAACUUUAAGUGUGCUUAUACUUUGUGGAAAGAUUUGGAGAAAAGAUACCUCUUACUUCUUGAGCUUGCGUUGGUUUUCCCUUGAAAAGUAAAGGGUGAUGCAGCAAAGUAGAUAAGUAUUUCCCUCGGUUUGAUGAGAAACAAGGUAUCAAUCCAGUAGGAGGAACAAGCAAGGCCCCAAUCUUAGCACCUACACAAACAAUCAAACAUUUGCACCCAAGCUAACAAGGGGUUGUCAAUCCCUUCACAGUUAUUUGCAAGGAUAAGAUCUGAUAGGGAUAGAUAAAAUAUUGUUAGAACUAAAAGUACAACAAAAGUAAAUAAAUUGCAGCAAGAUAUUUUUUGGUAUUUUUGGUUUAUUGUUUUGAAAGUAUAAUAUGGAAAAUAGAAUCGGGGGGCAUAGGUUUCACUAGAGGCUUCUCUCAUGAAGGAAAAUAAUACGGUGGGUGAACAAAUUACUGUCGAGCAAUUGAUAGAAAAGCGAAUAAUUAUGAAGAUAUCUAGGGCAAUGAUUAUGCAUAUAGGCAUCACGUCCGUGUCAAGUAGACUGAAAAGAUUCUACAUCUACUACUAUUACUCCACACAUCGACCGACUCAUGCCUGCAUCUAGAGUAUUAAGUUCAUGAAGAACAGAGUAACGCAUUAAGUAAGAUGACAUGAUGUAGAGGGAUAAACUCAAGCAAUAUGAUGAAAACCCCAUCUUUUAAUCCUCGAUGGAAACAAUGCAAUAUGUGCCUCGCUACCCCUACUUUGUCACUAGGUGAGGACACCGCGAGAUUGAACCCAAAACUAAGCACUUCUCCCAUUGCAAGAAUUACGAAUCUAGUUGGCCAAACAAAACCAAUAACUCGAAGAGACUUGCUAAGAUAUGAAAUCAUGCAUAUAAGAAUUCAGAGAAGAUUUAAAUAAUAUUCAUAGAUAAUCUGAACAUAAACCCACAAUUCAUCGGAUCUCGACAAACACACCGCAAAAGAGUAUUACAUUGGAUAGAUCUCCAUGAAGAUGAUGGAGAACAUUGUAUUGAAGAACGAAGAGAUAGAAGAAGCCAUCUAGCUACUAGCUAUGGACCCGUAGGUCUGUGGUGAACUACUCAUGCAUCAUCGGAGGGGCAAUGGAGUUGAUGUAGAUGCCCUCCGUGAUCGAUUCCCUCUCCGGCAGAUUACCCCAAAAGGCUCCCAGAUUGGAUCUCACAGGAACAGAGCCUCCUGGCGGCGGAAAGGUAUUUUGUGGUCUCCUUCUGGUAUUGGGGGGAUAUUUGGGAAUUUAUAGGCCAAGGAUUAGGGUUAGGAGGCCGGCAGGGGACCCACAAGCCAGGGGACGCCCCCCUAGGGCGCGCCCUGCAGGCUUGUCGCCUCUCGGCAGGUCUCCUGCCCCCUUCUCCAAGUCUGGCAGGUUUCUUCUGGUCCAAAAAAAUCAUCCCGGAGAUUUUAUUCCAUUUGGACUCUGUUUAAUAUUCCUUGUCUGCAAUACUAAAAAACAUGGAAAAACAGAAACUAGCACUAGGCUCUAGAUUAAUAGGUUAGUCCCAAAAAUAAUACAAAAGAGCAUAUUAAUGCAUAUAAAACAUCCAAAGCAGAUAAUAUAAUAGCAUGGAACAAUAAAAAAUUAUAGAUACAUUGGAGACGUAUCAAGCAUCCCCAAGCUUAAUUCCUGGUCGUCCUUGAGUAGGUAAAUGAUAAAAAUAGAAUUUUUGAUGUGGAAUGCUACCUACCAUAUUUAUCCAUGUAAUAUUCUUUAUUGUGGCAUGAAUAUUCAGAUCCAUAAGAUUCAAAACAAAAGUCUAAUAUUAACAUAAAAACAAUAAUACUUCAAGCAUAUUAACAAUACAAUUGCUUCCUUUCGAAAUAACAUGGUCUUAGAAAGUUAUCCCUACAAAAUCAUAUGGUCUCGCUAUGCUCCAUCUUCCCCCACACAAAGUAUCUAAAUCAUGCACAACCCUGAUGAAAGUCAAGCAAUUGUUUCACACUUUUUGUGUUCUCAAACCUUUUCAACUCUCACGCAAUACAUGAGUGCGAGCCAUGGAUAUAGCACUAUAGGUGAAAAUAGAAUAUGGUGGAGGUUGCAAAAAGAAAGAGGAGAAGAUAGUCUCACAUCAAAUAGGCGUAUCAACGGGCUAUGGAGAUGCCCAUCAAUAGAUAUCAAUGUGAGCGAGUAGGGAUUGCCAUGCAACAAAUGCACUAGAGCUAUAAGUGUAUGAAAGCUCAAAAAGAAAACUAAGUGGUCGUGCAAAAGAUAAAAUUCCACUAGUUAUAUGAAAGUGACAAAAUAGGAGACUCUUUAUGAAGAACAUGGUGCUAGUUUGAAGCACAAGUGUGGAAAAAGAUAGUAGCAUUGUCCCUUCUCUCUUUCUCUUUUUUUCAUUUGGACUGUUAGGCCUCUCUUUUUCUCUUUUUUGGGCUCUUUGGCCUCUUUUUUUAUUUCCUCACAUGGGACAAUGCUCUAAUAAUGAUGAUCAUCACACUUUUAUUUACUCACAGCUCAAAGAUCACAAUGAUGAUGACUCCAUAGGAAAUGCCUUCGGCAGUGUACCGGGAUGUGCAAUGAUCUAGCAUGGCGUAUGACGUUGAAACAUCUCGCUAGCUAUCUUACGAUCGUGCAAUGGCAAUAUGAGAGUGAUGACACAAGUCAUGAGACGGAACGGUGGGAGUUGCGUGGCAAUAUAUCUCGGAAUGGCUAUGAAAAUGCCAUAGUAGGUAGGUAUGGUGGCUGUUUUGAGGAAGGAAUUUGGUGGGUUUGUGCAUCGGCCAGAAUUGUGUGGCACUAAAGAGGAUAGCAAUGGUGGAAGGUGAAAGUGCAUCUAUACCAUGGGCUCACAUUAGUCAUGAAGAANNNNNNNNNNNNNNNNNNNNNNNNNNNNNNNNNNNNNNNNNNNNNNNNNNNNNNNNNNNNNNNNNNNNNNNNNNNNNNNNNNNNNNNNNNNNNNNNNNNNUUGAGUUUCUUCUGAUCUCUCUUAUGCAUGAUUUCAUAUCCUUGUAAUUCUCUUCGAGUUGUGGGUUUUGACUGGCCAACUAGAUCUAUGAUUCUUGUAAUGGGAGAAGUGCUUGGUUUUGGGUUCAUACCGUGCAGUGACUUCACCCAAUGACAAAAGGGGUAGCGAGGCACGCAUCGUGUUGUUGCCAUCAAGGGUAAAAAUAUGGGGUUUUCAUCAUUGGUUUGAGAUUAUCCCUCUACAUCAUGUCAUCUUGCUUAAAGCGUUACUCUGUUUGUCAUGAACUCAAUACACUAGAUGCAUGCUGGAUAGCGGUCGAUGUGUGGAGUAAUAGUAGUUGAUGCAGAAACUAUCGGUGUACUUGUCUCGGACGUGAUGCCUAUAUGUAUGAUCAUUGCCUUAGAUAUCGUCAUGACUUUGCACGGUUCUAUCAAUUGCUCGACAGUAAUUUGUUCACCCACCGUAGUACUUGCUAUUUUGAGAGAAGCCUCUAGUGAACACUAUGGCCCCCAGGGUCUACUCCACACCAUAUUUUCNNNNNNNNNNNNNNNNNNNNNNNNNNNNNNNNNNNNNNNNNNNNNNNNNNNNNNNNNNNNNNNNNNNNNNNNNNNNNNNNNNNNNNNNNNNNNNNNNNNNAUGGACAUCACCAUGAUAGGUCUUCGUGCGCGUAGGAAAAUUUUUGUUUCCCAUGCGACGUUCCCCAACAGUGGUAUCAGAGCUAGGUUCAUGCGUAGAUGUCUUCUCGAGUAGAACACAAAAGUUUUUGUGGGCGGUGAUGUGCGUUUUGCUGCCCUCCUUAGUCUUUUCUUGAUUCCGCGGUAUUGUUGGAUUGAAGCGGCUUGGACCGACAUUACUCGUACGCUUACGAGAGACUGGUUUCAUCGUUACGAGUAACCCCCUUUGCUCAAAGAUGACUGGCAAGUGACUGUUUCUCCAACUUUAGUUGAAUCGGAUUUGACCGAGGAGGUCCUUGGAUGAGGUUAAAUAGCAACUCAUAUAUCUCCGUUGUGGUGUUUGCGUAAGUAAGAUGCGAUCCUACUAGAUACCCUCGGUCACCACGUAAAACAUGCAACAACAAAAUUAGAGGACGUCUAACUUGUUUUUGCAGGGUAUGAUUGUGAUGUGAUAUGGCCAACGAUGUGAUGUGAUAUAUUGGAUGUAUGAGAUGAUCAUGUUGUAAUAGAAAUAUCGACUUGCACGUCGAUGGUACGGCAACCGGCAGGAGCCAUAGGGUUGUCUUUAUACUAACGUUUGUGCUUGCAGAUGCGUUUACUAUUUUGCUAGGAUGUAGCUUUAGUAGUAAUAGCAUAAGUAGCACGACAACCCCGAUGGCAACACGUUGAUGGAUGAUCAUGGUGUGGCGCCGGUGACAAGAAGAUCGUGCCGGUGCUUUGGUGAUGGAGAUCAAGAAGCACGUGAUGAUGGCCAUAUCAUGUCACUUAUGAAUUGCAUGUGAUGUUAAUCCUUUUAUGCACCUUAUUUUGCUUAGAACGACGGUAGCAUUAUGAGGUGAUCUCUCACUAAAAUUUCAAGACGAAAUUGUGUUCUCCCCGACUGUGCACCGUUGCGACAGUUCUUCGUUUCGAGACACCACGUGAUGAUCGGGUGUGAUAGACUCAACGUUCACAUACAACGGGUGCAAAACAGUUGCACACGCAGAACACUCGGGUUAAGCUUGACGAGCCUAGCAUGUGCAGACAUGGCCUCGGAACACAUGAGACCGAAAGGUCGAGCAUGAAUCGUANNNNNNNNNNNNNNNNNNNNNNNNNNNNNNNNNNNNNNNNNNNNNNNNNNNNNNNNNNNNNNNNNNNNNNNNNNNNNNNNNNNNNNNNNNNNNNNNNNNNCCUUCUGCUCCUCGUUGGGUUCGACACUCUUACUUAUCGAAAGGACUAUGAUUGAUCCCCUAUACUUGUGGGUCAUCAGUGCAUCAGUGCUAACUCCUUGAGAAUCUUGCUCAGAUCUCUUCGGAUGACCCUCAGGAUACAAGGGUUCCUGGGUCAUUCUACCGCCUCUAGUGACGACUUUGUCAGAAUUGUCAUUCAACUCAUUGAGAAAGUCAUUUUUAGCUUUAAGUACUUGUUCUACCUGAGUAGUAACCAUAGAGGCAUGUUUACUCAGAAGCUUAAGAUCGUUGACGUUUCUGUCCACACAAGCACUUAAAUGACUAAGCAUACGAGCAUUCUGUUCCAAUUGUCUACUAACAUAAUCAUUGAAACUCUGUUGUUUGGCAACAAAGUUAUAAAAUUCAUCCAGGCAUAAGCUAGCAGCUUUAUCAAAAGGAAUAUCACUCUCAUCAAACCUACGCAGAGAAUUUACUUCUACUACCUGUAUCGGGUUAUCAAGACCAUGGAUCUCUUCGAUAGGUGGUAGAUUUUUGGCAUCUUCAGAUUUAAUGCCUUUCUCUCGUAUAGAUUUCUUGGUUUCUUGCAUAUCUUCAGGACUGAGGAAUAGAAUACCUCUUUUCUUCGGAGUUGGCUUAGGAGGUGGUUCGUGAAUAGUCCAAGCAUUCUCGUUGCACAAGAUGCUAUUCAAUAGGAUCUCAGCUUGUUCUACGGUUCGUUCCCUAAAAACACAACCGGCACAACUAUCUAGGUCGUCUUUAGAAGCAUCGGUAAGUCCAUUAUAGAAGAUAUCAAGUAUUUCAUUCUUCUCAAGAGGGUGAUCAGGCAAAGCAUUCAGUUGCUGGAUGAGCCUCCCCCAAGCUUGUGGGAGACUCUCUUCUUCAGCUUGAGCAAAGCUGUAUAUUUCCUACAAGGCAACUUGCUUCUUAUGGGAGGGAAAUAUUUUUCAGAAAAGUAGUAGACCAUAUCCUGGGGGCUACGCACACAACCAGGAGCAAGAGAAGUGAACCAGGUCUUAGCAUCAUCCUUUAGCGAGAAAAGAAACAGCUUGAGGAUAUAGUAGUGGCGGAUCUUUUCCUCACUAGUGAAUAGGGUGGCUAUAUCGUGCAGUUUGGUAAGAUGGGCUACAACCGUUUCACACUCAUAACCGUGAAAAGGAUCAGAUUCGACUAGAGUGAUUAAUUCAGGGUCGACAGAGAAUUCAUAAUCCUUAUCGGUCACAAAGAUAGGCGAAGAAGCAAACUUCGGGUCGUAUUUCAUCCUAGCGUUCAGAGAUUUUUCUUUCCACUCGCGCAGUAAUUUCUCAACAUCAUAGCUAUCCUUACAUGCAAGAAAGUCCUCAGCUAUCUCUCCCUCCAUAACAUAACGCGUAUCAGGCAUAACAGGCAUAGGAGAGCUAGUUCUAGCAGGCAAAAUAGCAGGUUCUACUUCAAUAGUAUCAGCAGUUUCAGAAGUAUCAUCACGUCUAGCAGCAACUCUAGCAAUUUGUGCAUCAAGGAAUGCACCUAGUGGCAAAGCAGUAUCAACCAUAGAAUCAUCAGGCAUAGUAUCGAGCAUAGCAUCAUCAGGCAUAGUAUCAAGCAUAGCAUCAUCAGGCAUAGGCGACAUAUCAAGAUUUCUAGCAGGAGGUGAAGUCGCAAACUUACUCAUAACUGAAGGUGAAUCAAGUGCAGAGCUAGAUGGCAGUUCCUUACCUGUCCUCGUAGUUGAGGUCAAGAUUUUAGUUCUUGGAUCUUUCGGAUUCCUCAUAGUGACCAGCAGACGUCAAUCCCAAGUGACUCAGAGAAUAUAGUUGUCCCUCCCCGACAACGGUGCCAGAAAAUAGUCUUGAUAACCCACAAGUGUAGGGGAUCGCAACAGUUUUCGAGGGUAGAGUAUUCAACCCAAAUUUAUUGAUUCGACACAAAAGGAAGCGAAAGAAUAUUCUCAAGUAUUAGCAGCUGAGUUUGUCAGUUUAAACCACACCUGAAAGAUUAGUGUCUGCAAGCAAAGUAUCAGUAGCAAAGUGGUAUGAUCGCAACGGUGCCAGAAAAAGACCUGUUGACGGCAGACUAUUCCUAACUGUUGUAUCAAUGGCGCCAGUAAAUAGCACGUUGACGGGGGACUAUUCUUCCCUGGCAACGACUCCAGAAAAGUCUUGCAACAAGUAACAUCAAAGUAGCGACUAACAGCAGUAGUGACAGCAGUAGCAAGGAACAACAGUAGUGACAGCAGUAGUAACAGUAGCAGCAACAGUAGUAGCGACAAAGUAACAUAGCAAGGACCAGUAGUAAAAGAAUCGUAGGCAGUGGAUCGGUGAUGGAUGAGUAUGACGGAUGUGAUUCAUCAUGUAACAACUAUAACACAGAGAGAUAAGUAACUAGCUCCCGUUCGUCAAUCUAAUGUAGGCAUGUAUUCCAUAUGUAGUCAUACGUGCUUAGGGAAAAGAACUUGCAUGACAUCUAUUGUCCAUCCCUCCCGUGGCAGCGGGGUCCUAAUGGAANNNNNNNNNNNNNNNNNNNNNNNNNNNNNNNNNNNNNNNNNNNNNNNNNNNNNNNNNNNNNNNNNNNNNNNNNNNNNNNNNNNNNNNNNNNNNNNNNNNNGUCUAUGGUGAACUACUCACGCAUCAUCGGACAGGUCAUGGUGUUGAUGAAGAAGCCCUCCGUAUCCGAAUCUGCCCUCCGGCAGGGCACCAGAACGUGCCCUAGAUGGGAUCUUGCGGAGACAGAAGCUUGCGGCGGCGGAAAAGUACUUUCGAUGAUCUCCUAAUUUUUUUUGGAAUUUAUGGGAAUAUAUAGGCGAAAGACCUAGGGCAAAGGGCGUCCAGGGGGCUCACAAGCCUGGAUGGCGCGGCCUCCCCCCUGGCCGCGGGGUGGGGGCAUGUGGGGCCCCUGAGACUCCCCUGCCUUGGCUCCCAAGCUUCCCGAUCUUCUUCUGUUCCAAAAAAAAUCUUUUCGGGGAUUUUCUUUCGUUUGGACUCCGUUUCAAAAUCUCUUCUGAAAGGGGUCAAAAACAUGGAAAAACAGGAACUGCCACUUGGCACUGAGUUAAUAAGUUAGUCCCAAAAAAUAUAUAAAAGGCAUACAAAACAUCCAAAGUUUGACAAGAUAAUAGCAUGAAACCAUAAAAAGUUAUAUAUACGUUGGAGACGUAUCAAGCAUCCCCAAGCUUAACUCAUGCUCGUCCUCGAGUAGGAAAGUGAUAAAGAAUGAAUUUUUGAUGUGGAAUGCUACCUAGCAUAGUUGUCCUUUGCAACUUCUUUCACGUGGCAUGAAUGUUCAGAUCCGUAAGAUUUGAAACAAUAGUUUGCUAUUGACAUGAAAACAAUAAUACUUCAAGCAAACUAGCAAGGUAAUCAUGAACUUUCAAAAUAACAAGGCCAAAGAAAGUUAUCCCUACAAAAUCAUAUAGUCUGGCUAUGAUCCAUCAUCCUCACACAACUAAUGUAAAUCAUGCACAACCCUGGUAUUGGCCAAGUAAUUGUUUUCGCACUCUUACUUUCUCAAACUUUUUAUAACUAUCACGCAAUACAUGACAACGAGUCAUGGAUAUAGCACUAUAGGUGGAAUAGAGUGUGGUGGUGGUUGUGAGACAAAAAAGGAGGAGAUGGUCACAUUGACUAGGCCUAUCAAAAAGGCUAUGGAGAUGCCCAUUAAUAGAUAUCAAUGUGAAUGAGUAGGGAUUGCUAUACAAGAGACGCACUAGAGCUAUAAGUAUGUGAAAGCUCAAGAGUAGAACUAGUGGGUGUGCAUCCAACUUGCUUGCUCACGAAGACCUAGGGCAAUUUUGAGGAAGCCCAUCAUUGGAAUAUACAAGCCUAUUUAUAAAAUGAAGAUUCCCACUAGCAUAUGGUAGUGACAAAGCAAGAAGCUCUCAAUCAUGAAGGACAUGGUGCUAUCAUGAAGCACAAGUGUGGAAAAAGGUAGUAGCAUUGUCCCUUCUCUUUUUUUUAUUUGGGCUCUUAGGCCUCUCUUUUUUUCUUUUCUUUUCUCCCUUUUUUUUGUUUUUGGGCUCUUUGGCCUCUUUUUUUUCCUCACAUGGGACAAUGCUCUAAUAAUGAUGAUCAUCACACUUUUAUUUACUCACAGCUCAAAAUGAUGAUGACUCUAUAGGAAAUGCCUCCGGUAGUGUACCGGGAUGUGCAACGAUCUAGCAUGGCGUAUGACGUUGAAACAUCUCGCUGUUGGAAAUAUGCCCUAGAGGCAAUAAUAAAUUAGUUAUUAUUAUAUUUCUUUGUUCAUUAUAAUUGUUUAUUAUCCAUGCUAUAAUUGUAUUGAUUGGAAACACAGUGCAUGUGUCGAUACAUAGACAAAACACUGUCCCUAGUAAGCCUCUAGUUGACUAGCUCGUUGAUCAAAGAUGGUCAAGGUUUCCUGACCAUAGGCAAGUGUUUGUUGGAAAUAUGCCCUAGAGGCAAUAAUAAAAUGGUUAUUAUCAUAUNNNNNNNNNNCGUUCAUGCUAUAAUUGUAUUAACAGGAAACAGUAAUACAUGUGUGAAUGAAUAGAUCACAAUGUGUCCCUAGCAAGCCUCUAGUUAGCUAGCUCGUUAGUCAAUAGAUGAUCAUGGUUUCCUGAUCAUGGACAUUGGAUGUCAUUGAUAACGGGAUCACAUCAUUGGGAGAAUGAUGUGGUGGACAAGACCCAAUCCUAAGCCUAGCACUAGAUCGUAUUGUUCGUAUGCUAAUGCUUUUCUAAUGUCAAGUAUCUUUUCCUUCGACCGUGAGAUUGUGCAACUCCCGGAUACCGUAGGAGUGCUUUGGGUGUAUCAAACGUCACAACGUAACUGGGUGACUAUAAAGGUGCACUACGGGUACCUCCGAAAGUGUCUGUUGGGUUGGCACGAAUCGAGAUCGGGAUUUGUCACUCCGUGUGACGGAGAGGUAUCUCUGGGCCCACUCGGUAGAACAUCAUCAUGAGCUCAAUGUGACUAAGGAGUUAGUCACACGAUGACGUGCUACGGAACGAGUAAAGAGACUUACCGGUAACGAGAUUGAACAAGGUAUAGGUAUACCGACGAUCGAAUCUCGGGCAAGUUCUAUACCGAUAGACAAAGGGAAUCGUAUACGGGAUUGAUUGAAUCCUUGACAUCGUGGUUCAUCCGAUGAGAUCAUCGUGGAGCAAGUGGGAGCCACCGGAUUGGCCAGAGAGGUGUCUCGGUCAUGUCUACCUGUCUCCCGAACCCGNNNNNNNNNNCAACGAGAUUGAACAAGGUAUAGGUAUGCCGACGAUCGAAUCUCGGGCAAGUUCUAUACCGACAGACAAAGGGAAUCGUAUACGGGAUUGAUUGAAUCCUUGACAUCGUGGUUCAUCCGAUGAGAUCAUCAUGGAGCUAGUGGGAGCCACCAUGGGUAUCCAGACCCCGCUGAUGGUUAUUGGCCAGAGAGGUGUCUCGGUCAUGUCUACCUGUCUCCCGAACCCGUAGGGUCUACACACUUAAGGUUCGAUGACGCUAGGGUUAUAGGGAAUUGUUAUACGAGGUUACCGAAAGUUGUUCGGAGUCCCGGAUGAGAUCCCGGACGUCACGAGGAGCUUCGGAGUGGUCCGGAGGUAAAGAUUGAUAUAUAGGACGGAUGGUUUCGGACACCGGAAGUGUUUCGGGCGUCACCGGUAACGUACCGGGACCACCGGGACCACCGGAGGUGGCCCCGGGGUUCCAUCGAAGGGGGCAACGACCCCAAGAGGCUAGAUGGGCUAAGUGCGGGAGGGAACCAACCCCUAGGUGGGCUGGUGCGCCUCCCACACCCAGCCCAAUGCGCAAGUGGUGGGGAGAGGGGGCAACCCUAGGCGCAGGUGGGCCUUAGGCCCACCAGGUGGUGCGCCACACCCCCUCCCACCCUAGCCGCCGCCCCCCUCUCCCAUAUGGUGGCCGCCGUCCCCUAGGGAGGGAACCCUAGGGGUGGCACAGCCCUCCCCCCUCCUCCUAUAAAUAGAGAGGGGUUUUGGCCAUUGAGACACACGGUUUUCCCUCUCUCUCGGCGCAGCCCUGCUCUUCUUCCUCCUCCUCUCCGCCGGUGCUUCGCGAAGCCCUGCCGGGAGACCUCGUCUCUCCAUCGACACCACGCCGUUGUGUUGCUGGAAUUCUUCCCCAACCUCUCCCUCCUCCUUGCUGGAUCAAGGUGCGGGAGACGUCACCGGGCUGCACGUAUGUUGAACGCGGAGGUGCCGUUGUUCGGCACUAGAUCGGAAUCGCUGCGAGUACGACUCCAUCAACCGCAUUCGAGCAACGCUUCCGCUUAGCGAUCUUCAAAGGUACGAAGAUGCUCUUACCCCUCUCUCAUUGUUGGUCUCUCCAUAGGAAGAUCUGAAUAUGCGUAGGAAAAUUUUGAAUUUAUGCUACGUUACCCAACAUAUCCCUCUACAUCAUGUCAUCUUGCUUAAAGCGUUACUCUGUUCUUCAUGAACUCAAUACACUAGAUGCAUGCUGGAUAGCGGUCGAUGUGUGGAGUAACAGUACUAGAUGCAGAAAUUAUCGGUCUACUUGUUUUGGACGUGAUGCCUAUAUGUAGGAUCAUUGCCUUAGAUAUCGUCAUGACUUUGCGCGGUUCUAUCAAUUGNNNNNNNNNNNNNNNNNNNNNNNNNNNNNNNNNNNNNNNNNNNNNNNNNNNNNNNNNNNNNNNNNNNNNNNNNNNNNNNNNNNNNNNNNNNNNNNNNNNNCCUUCAAGAUUGUUUGCAAAGUGAGAUCUGAAGGCGGAAAGUGCAACGAAGUAAAAAGUGUAAGGCUGAAAAUAUGGUGCGGAGUAGACCCUGGGGGGAAUAGUGUUCACUAGAGGCUUCUCUCAAAAUAGCAAGUGUUACGGUGGGUGACCAAAUUACUGCCGAGCAAUUGAUAGAACCGCGCAAAGUCAUGACGAUAUCUAAGGCAAUGAUCAUACAUAUAGGCAUCACGUCCGAGACAAGUAGAUCGAUACUUUCUACAUCUACUACUAUUACUCCACACAUCGACCGCUAUCCAGCAUGCAUCUAGUGUAUUGAGUUCAUGAAGAACAGAUUAACGCUUUAAGCAAGAUGACAUGAUGUAGAGGGAUAAUCUCAAACCAAUGAUGAAAACCCCAUAUUUUUACCCUUGAUGGCAACAACACGAUGCGUGCCUUGCUACCCCUUCUGUCACUGGGUGAGGUCACCGCACGGUAUGAACCCAAAACCAAGCACUUCUCCCAUUGCAAGAAUCAUAGAUCUAGUUCGCCAGACAAAACCCACAAUUCAAAGAGAAUUACAAGGAUAUGAAAUCAUGCAUAAGAGAGAUCAGAAGAANNNNNNNNNNCGCUACCCCUUUUGUCAUUGGGUGAAGUCACUGCACGGUAUGAACCCAAAACCAAGCACUUCUCCCAUUACAAGAAUCAUAGAUCUAGUUGGCCAGUCAAAACCCACAACUCGAAGAGAAUUACAAGGAUAUGAAAUCAUGCAUAAGAGAGAUCAGAAGAAACUCAAAUAAGAUUCAUAGAUAAUCUGAUCAUAAAUCCACAAUUCAUCGGAUCUCGACAAACACACCGCAAGAGAAGAUUACAUCGGAUAGAUCUCCAUGAAGAUCAUGGAGAACUUUGUAUUGAAGAUCCAAGAGAGAGAAGAAGCCAUCUAGUUACUAGCUAUGGACCCGUAGAUCUAUGGUGAAGUACUCACGCAUCAUCGGAGAGGUCAUGGUGUUGAUGGAGAAGCCCUCCGUGUCCGAAUCCCCCCCUGGUAGGGCACCAGAACGUGCCCCAGAUGGGAUCUUGCGGAGACAGAAGCUUGCGGCGGCGGAAAAGUACUUUCGAUGAUCUCCUGAUUUUUUUGGGAUUUUUAGGGAAUAUAUAGGCGCAACCCCUAGGUCAGGGGACACUCAGGGGGCCCACAAGCCUGUAUGGCGCGGCCUCCCCCCUGCCGCGGGGUGGGUGCUUGUGGGUCCCUUGGGUCUCCCCUGCCUUGGCUCCCAAGCUCCCCAAUCUUCUUCCGUUCCAGAAAAAAUCUUUUUGGGGAUUUUCUUCCGUUUGGACUCUGUUUCAAAAUCUCCUCUAAAAGGGGUCAAAAACAUGGAAAAAACAGGAACUGGCACUUGGCACUGANNNNNNNNNNNNNNNNNNNNNNNNNNNNNNNNNNNNNNNNNNNNNNNNNNNNNNNNNNNNNNNNNNNNNNNNNNNNNNNNNNNNNNNNNNNNNNNNNNNNUACUCCCGUUUGGUCUCACCCCUGCAUCACGCAGAUUUCUUCUGUUUUUCGUUUCGAGCCUGUUUCUGUUGCAGAUCUAGAUCUCUAUGACUUCCCCAAAAGCUCUGAAGGACAAGAUCUUCGAGGAGGUCAUCAAUCCCUACCUCACGGGAGUGCUGCAACACCCUCAAUCUAUCGAGAUGCAUGAGGGGAUGUUGCACAUCCAUGAUGUUGAGGGGCCUAAGAAGACCGGAAGCGUGGAGACGAGGCUCGAAGCAAUGGAGCAACAAGUCUUCAAGUGCCAAGGGAUGGUGGAGCGUGGACUCAACGCCAACCAUAUGAUGAUCAUGGAGUUCACCAACAAUCACAUGAUUGAUGCCAAUGAUAUUGGGAAGCAUCUCUCCAGGCUCUAUGACAGGAUUGAUCAACUCCAGGCCGAGAUCUAUGACCUACAGAACCAAAAUUGUGAGUAUGAGUGUAGAUUUCAAUCAAUAUGGUUGGCUGCAGAUUUGAGGAUUCCGGAGACUCGUUCAUCUUUCCAUGAUGGAGCACCUAUGCCUUGGAAGACGGAGGAUCAAACUCAUGUUGCAAUAACUCCACGACCAUCACCACCAAAGGAAGACAACUAAACAUGGGUAUGGGCAAUCCCCUUGGCUUGUGCCAAGCUUGGGGGAGUUGCCCCGGUAUCGUAUCACCAUCACAUCUUUUGCCUUUACCUUUGUUUUAGUUUGUUCCUUUUUAGUUUUCUUUCUUUUUCUCUAGUAGUUUAAAAGUCUUAGUGUUUUAGUCUUGAGUUUUGCUUUGUGUCACCCCCUAUGUAUUCGAGCUCGUGAGCCAUAUAAUAAAGAGUGUCUUAGUUGAAGGGCUUUGCCUCUUGCCAUGAUCAAAAGAGUGAGAAUAGAACAAAAGCAUGAAAGAUCAUGUAAUGAUCUUAUGGGAAGUGAUGGCUUCACAUAUAAAAAGAACAGGGAUUGAAACUUGUUGAGGGUAGGCAAACGUAGACCUUGGUCAUGGUUGCAAUUAAUAGGAAGUGAUAAAGAAGGAGAGGUUCACAUAUAAAUAUAUCAUCUCUGACACCAUCUAUGAUUGUGAACACUCACCAAACUAUUACAUGCCUAGAAGUAGAUGUUGGAAAAGGAAGACAACAUAAUGAAUUGUGUUUGCUUGGCUCCAAACAAUGUUAUAUGAUUAGAGAUCCCUUAGCAUGUGACGAUUGCUUCCACCUCAUAUUAGCCAAAACUCCCGCACCAAGUAGAGAUACUACUUGUGCAUCCAUAAACAUUCAACCCAGUUUUGCCAUGAGUGUCCACCGUACCUACCUAUGGAUUGAAUAAGAUCCCUCAAGUAAGUUGUCAUUGGUGCAAGCAAUAAAAAUUUCUCUCUAAUAUGUAUGAUCUAUUAGUGUGUGGAAAAUAAGCUUUGUACGAACCUGUGAUGAGGAAGACAUAAAAGCGACAAACUGCAUAAUAAAGUCCUUUAUCGCAGGAGGCAAUAUAAAGUGACAUUCCUCUGCACUAAGAGGACACGCAUCCAAACCUCAAAAGCGCAUGACAACCUCUGCUUCCCUCUGCGAAGGGCCUAUCUUGUACCUUUACUUUUUGCCCUUGAAAGAGUCAUGGUGAUCUUCACCAAUUCCUUAUUUUGCCUUUAUAUUGGCUAACGUCGUAUGCUUGGGAAAGAUCUAUAUUGAUAUGUCAACUAGGAGGUAGGCAUUCAUGAAUUAUUAUUAUUGACAUUACCCUUGAGGUGAGCAGUUGGGAGGCAAAACUGUAAGCCCCUAUAUCUUUCUCUGUGUCCAACUGAAACUUUGAUCUCAUGAGUACCACGUGAGUUGUAGCAAUCGUAGAGAACGAAAGAAUGAUUGAGUAUGUGGAUUUGCUUUACAAUCUCUUAUUUGACUCUUUCUGAUGUUGUGAUAAAUUGCAAUUGCUUCAAUGACUAGAGGCUAUCGGUUGUUACUUCUCGGUAAGGUUCUUGAUCCAUGCUUUACUUUGUGAAGGAAUUAUCACUUUAGCAUGAGAGAUUAUAUGUUGGUAUUAUUGUUCUGAUCAUGAUCAUGAUGCAUGCAUGUUCGUAUCUUGUUUUGUCGAAACCUCUCUCCCUAAACAUGUGGACAUAUUUAUUGAGCUAGGCUUUCGCUUGAGGACAAGCGAGGUCUAAACUUGGGGGAGUUGAUACGUCCAUUUUGCAUCAUGUUUUCAUGUUGAUAUUUAUCGCUUCUUUGGUUGUUAUUUCACUUCACGGUACAAUUCUUAUGCCUUUUAUCUCUUAUUUGGCAAGGUUUACAUGAAGAGGGAGAAUGCCGACAACUGUAAUUCUGGCCUGAAAGUGGAGCAAAGUUGAGAUACCUAUUCUGCGCAACUCCAAAUGCCGUAAAAAUCAACGAGGAUUUUUUUUCCGGAUUUAUAAAAUAUACCGGGCCGAAGAAGUGCCAGAGGGGCGCGUGCAGGUGACCACAAGCGUGCACGGUGCGGCCACCCCCCAGGCCGCACCAUGAGGGCUUGUGGGCAGCCUGCUGGCCCACUUCCCCCCUCUUCUGCUAUACGAAGGGUUUCGUCUGGAAAAAAAAUCAAGGAGGAGCUUUUUUGUGGUUUCACCGCCGCCACGAGGCGGAACUUGAGCAGAACCAAUCUAGAGCUCCGGUAGGACGAUCCUGCCGGGGAAACUUCCCUCCCGGAGGGGGAAAUCGUCGCCAUCGUCAUCACCAACACUCCUCUCAUUGGAGGGGACUCGUCACCAUCAACAUCUUCAUCAGCACCAUCUCAUCUCCAAACCAUAGAUCAUCACUUGUGACCAAUCUCCGUCUUGCGACUCCGAUUGGUACUUGUAAGGUUGCUAGUAGUGUUGAUUACUCUUUGUAGUUGAUGCUAGUUGGAUUACUUGGUGGAAGAGUUUAUGUUCAGAUCCUUGAUGCUACUCAUUACCUCUCUGGUCAUGAAUAUGAUUAUGCUUUGUGAGUAGUUACUUUUGUUCCUGAGGACAUGGGAUAAGUCAUGCUAAUAGUAGUCAUGUGAAUUUGGUAUUCGUUCGGUAUUUUGAUGCGUUGUAUGUUGUUUUUCCUCUACUGGUGUUAUGUGAACGUCGACUACAUUACACUUCACCAUUAUUUGGGCCUAGAUGAAGGCAUUGGGAAGUAGUAAGUAGAUGAUGGGUUGCUAGAGUGACAGNNNNNNNNNNNNNNNNNNNNNNNNNNNNNNNNNNNNNNNNNNNNNNNNNNNNNNNNNNNNNNNNNNNNNNNNNNNNNNNNNNNNNNNNNNNNNNNNNNNNACGAGAUUGAAAUAGGUAUGCGGAUACUGACGAUCGAAUCUCGGGCAAGUAACAUACCGAAGGACAAAGGGAAUGACAUACGGGAUUAUAUGAAUCCUUGGCACUAAGGUUCAAACGAUAAGAUCUUCGUAGAAUAUGUAGGAUCCAAUAUGGGCAUCCAGGUCCCGCUAUUGGAUAUUGACCGAGGAGUCAAUCGGGUCAUGUCUACAUAGUUCUCGAACUCGCAGGGUCUGCAUACUUAAGGUUCGACGUUGUUUUAUGCGUAUUUAAGUUAUAUGGUUGGUUACCAAAUGUUGUUCGGAGUCCCAGAUGAGAUCACGGAUGUCACGAGGGUUUCUGGAAUGGUCCGGAAACGAAGAUUGAUAUAUAGGAUGACCUCAUUUGGUUGCCGGAAGGUUUUGGUGCAUUACCGGAAAAGUUUCGGGCUCAUCGGUAGUGUACUGGGAGUGUCGGGAGGGGUGCCGGGGACCAUCAGGAGGGGUGUCACGCCCCAAGGGGUCUCAUGGGCUAUGGGAAGAUAUAAACCAGACCCUAGUGGGCUGGAAUAAGUUCCCACUAAGGCCCAUAAGGUUUGAGAAGGAAAAAAACACAAGGUGGAAAGAGUUUCCAAGUGGGAAGGUGGAAUCCUACUCCAAGUAGGAUUGGAGUAGGACUCCUCCACCAAUUUCGGCCAAACCUUUAGGUUUUGAGGCUGCCUCCUCCCCUCCCUCCCACCUAUAUAUACGGAGGUUUUAGGGCUGAUUUGAGACGACUUUCUCACGGCUGCCCGACCACAUACCUCCAUAGUUUUUCCUCUAGAUCGUGUUUCUGCGGAGCUCGGGCGGAGCCCUGCUGAGACAAGAUCAUCACCAACCUCCGGAGCGCCGUCACGCUGCCGGAGAACUCUUCUACCUCUCCGUCUCUCUUGCUGGANNNNNNNNNNUCCAAUUUCGGCCAAACCUUUAGGUUUCGAGGCUGCCUCCUCCCCUCCCUCCCUCCUAUAUAUAGUGGGGUUUUAGGGCUGAUUUUAGACAACUUUUGCCACGGCAGCCCGACCACAUACCUCCACGGUUUUACCUCUAGAUCGCGUUUCUACGGAGCUCGGGCAGAGCCUUGCUGAGAUUAGAUCACCACCAACCUCCGGAGCGCCGUCGCGCUGUCGGAGAACUCAUCUACCUCUCCGUCUCUCUUGCUAGAUCAAGAAGGCCGAGAUCAUCGUCGAGCUGUACGUGUGCUGAACGCGGAGGUGCCGUCCGUUCGGCACUAGAUCGGAGCGGAUCGUGGGACGGAUUGCGGGACGGUUCGUGGGAUGGUUCGCGGGGCGGAUCGAGGGANNNNNNNNNNNNNNNNNNNNNNNNNNNNNNNNNNNNNNNNNNNNNNNNNNNNNNNNNNNNNNNNNNNNNNNNNNNNNNNNNNNNNNNNNNNNNNNNNNNNUUGAGCGAUUCGUGAUGUUUGACACUGCGAAAGUAGAAAUCAAGAAGGAGCGUCAAUAGUUGAUGGUUUGUAAAACCACUAAGUUUCAAGAAAGGCAAGGGCUAGAAGGGAUACUUUGUGAAACGGCAAAACAGUUGCUGCACUAAUGAAGAGACCCAAGAUUAAACCCAAACCCGAGACUAAGUGCUUCUGUAAUGAGGGGAACAGUCACUGAGGCGGAGCAACUCUAGAUACUUGGUAGAUAAGAAGGCUGGCAAAAGUCGAAAGAAGUGUAUUUGAUAUACAUGAUGUUGAUGUGUACUUUACUAGUACUCCUAGUAGCAUGAGGGUAUUGGAUACCGGUUCGGUUGCUAAGUGAUUAGUAACACGAAAUGAAAGCUACGGCAUAAACGGAGACUAGCUAAAGGCGAGGUGACGAUACGUGUUGGAAGUGUUUCCAAGGUUGAUAUGAUCAAACGUCGCACGCUCCCUCUACCAUCGGGAUUGGUGUUAAACCUAAAUAAUUGUUAUUUGGUGCUUGCGUUAAGCAUGAACAUGAUUGUAUCGUGUUUAUUGCAAUACGAUUAUUCAUUUAAGGAGAAUAAUGGUUACUCUAUUUUCUUGAAUAUUCACCUUCAAUGGUUUAUUGAAUCUCGAUCGUAGUGUUACACAUGUUCAUGAUAUUGGUGCCAAAAGAUACGAGUUAAUGAUGAUAGUACCACUUACUUGUGGCACUGCCGCUUGAGUCAUGUUAGUAUAAAUUGCAUGAAGAGGCUCCAUGCUGAUGGAUCUUUGUACUCACCUGAUUUCGAAUCACUAGUGACAUGCAAAUCAUACCACAUGAGCAAGGCCUUGUUUUCAUUGAGAUGAAAUAAGAUAGUAACUUGUUGGAAGUGAUACAUUUUGAUGUAUGCAGUCCAAUGGGUGCUGAGGCACGCAGUGGAUAUCAUUAUGUUCUUACUUCACUGACGAUUUGAGUAGAUACAGGAGUAUUUACUUAAUGAAUCACAAGUCUGAAAUGUUGAAAAGUUCAAUUCCGUUUCAGAGUGAAGUUCAUCGUAACAAGAGGAUAAACUGUCUACGAUAUGAUCAUGGAAAUGAAAAUCUGAGUUACGGGUUUUUGGUACGCAGUUAAGACAAUGUGGAAAUUGUUUCGCAGUUCAUGCCACCUGGAACAUCAUAGUGUGAUGAUGUGUCUGAACGUCAUAGCCACGCACUAUUUGGUAUGGUGCAUACUAUGAUGUCUCUUAUCGAAUUACCACUAUCGUUUAUGGGUUUUGCAUUAGAGACAACCGCACUCACUUUAAAUAGGGCACCGCGUAUUUCCGUUGAGAUGACACAGUAUAGACUGAGGUUUAGAGAAAUCUAAACUGUCGUUUCCUGAAAGUUUGGGGUUUCGACACUUAUGUGAAAAAGUUUCAGUCUGAUAAGCUCGAACCCAAAGCGGAUAAAUGCUUCUUCAUAGGGUAUCCAAAACAGUUGGGUACAUCUCCUAUCUCAGAUCCGAAAGCAAAGUGUUUGUUUCUGGAAACGGAUCCUUUCUCGAGGAAAGGUUUCUCUCGAAAGAAUUGAGUGGGAGGGUAGUAGAACUUGAUGAGGUUAUUGAACCAUCACUUCAACCAGUGUGUAGCAGGGCGCAGGAAGUUGUUCCUGUGGCGCCUACACCAAUUGAAGUGGAAGAUGAUGAUGGUGAUCAUUGAGCUUCGAAUCAAGUUACUACAAACCUCGUAGGUCGACAAGGUCGCGUACUGCUGGAGAGUAGUACGGUAACCCUGUCUUGGAGGUCAUGUUGUUGAGCAACAAUGAACCUACGAGUUAUGGAGAAAGCGAUGGUGGGCCCAGAUUCCGACAAAUGGCUGGAAGCCAUGAAAUCCGAGAGAGGAUCCAUGUAUGAAAACAAAGUGUAGACUUUGGAAGAAUUACUUGAUGGUCAUAGGACUAUUGAGUAAAGAUGGAUCUUUAAAGGAAAACAGACGAUGAUGGUGAUAAGUCACUAUUAAGAAAAGCUCGACUUGUCACAAAGAUGUUUUCGACAAGAUCAAACAGUUGACUAUGAUGAGACUUUCUCACUCGUAGCGAUGCUAAAGGUCUGUUAGAAUUAUGUUAGUUGUUGAUGCAUUAUUUAUGAAAUAUUGCACGUAGGAUGUCAAAACAUUGUUUCCUCGACGGUUUCCUUGAGCAAACAUUGUAUGUGAUACAACCAGAAGUUUUUGUCGAUCCUAAAGAUGCUAGCAAGUAUGCAAGCUCCAGUGAUCCUUCAAUGGACUGGUGCAAGCAUCUCGGAGUUGGAAUAAGCACUUUGAUGAGAUGAUCAAAGAUUUUGGGUGUGUACAAGGUUUAUGAGAAACUUGUAUUUCCAAAGAAGUGAGUGGGAGCACUGUAGAAUUUCUGAUAGGUAUAUGUGGUUGACAUAUUGUGGAUCAGAAGUAAUGUAGAAUUUCUGUAAAGCAUACAAGGUUGUUUGAAAGAAGUUUUCAAAGGAGUACCUCGAUUACGCUACUUGAACGUUGAGCAUCAAAGAUCUAUGGAGAUAGAUCGAAAGCGCUUAAUAGAAGUUUCAACAAGAUGCAUGCCUUGACAAGUUUUUGAAAGAAUUCAAAAUAGACCAGCAAAGAAGGAGUUCUUGGUUGCGUUGUGAGGUGUGAAUUUGAGUAAGACUCAAAAACCGACCACGGCAGAAUAAAGAGAAUAGACGAAGGUCGUCUUCUAUGCCUUAGCCGUAGAAUCUAAAGUAUGCCAUGCUGUGUACCGCACAUGAAGUGUGCCUUGACUCAAAGUAUGUUGAGAGGUACAGAGAGUGAUCCAUGAUUGAAUCACUAGCAGCGGUCAAAAUUUAUCCUUAGUAACUAAUGGACUAAGGAAUUUUUCUCGAUUAUGGAGGUGGUUAAAGAGUUCGUCGUAAAGGGUUACGUCGAUGCAAGCUUUGACACUAAUCCGAAUAACUAUGAGUAGUGAAACGGAUUCGUAUAGUAGAGUAGAUAUUUGGAGCAUUUCCGAAUAGCACGUAGUAGCAGCAUCUGUAAGAUGACAUAAAGAUUUGUAAAGAACGCACGGAUCUGAAAGUUUCAGAACCGUUGACUAAAACCUCUCUCACGAGCAAGACGUGAUCAGACCCCAUAACUAUAUGGGUGUUGGAUUCGUUGGAAUCACAUGGUGAUGUGAACUAGAUUAUUGACUCUAGUGCAAGUGGGAGACUGUUGGAAAUAUGCCCUAGAGGCAAUAAUAAAUUAGUUAUUAUUAUAUUUCUUAGUUCAUGACAAUCGUUUAUUAUCCAUGCUAUAAUUGUAUUGAUUGGAAACACAAUACUUGUGUGGAUACAUAGACAAAACACUGUCCCUAGUAAGCCUCUAGUUGACUAGCUCGUUGUUCAAAGAUGGUCAAGGUUUCCUGGCCAUAGGCAAGUGUUGUCACUUGAUAACGGGAUCACAUCAUUAGGAGAAUCAUGUGAUGGACUAGACCCAAACUAAUAGACGUAGCAUGUUGAUCGUGUCAUUUUGUUGCUACUGUUUUCUGCGUGUCAAGUAUUUAUUCCUAUGACCAUGAGAUCAUAUAACUCACUGACACCGGAGGAAUGCUUUGUGUGUAUCAAACGUCGCAACGUAACUGGGUGACUAUAAAGAUGCUCUACAGGUAUCUCCGAAGGUGUUAGUUGAGUUAGUAUGGAUCAAGACUGGGAUUUGUCACUCCGUGUGAACGGAGAGGUAUCUCGGGGCCCACUCGGUAAUACAACAUCACACACAAGCCUUGCAAGCAAUGUAACUUAGUGUAAGUUGCGGGAUCUUGUAUUACGGAACGAGUAAAGAGACUUGCCAGUAAACGAGAUUGAAAUAGGUAUACGGAUACUGACGAUCGAAUCUCGGGCAAGUAACAUACCGAAGGACAAAGGGAAUGACAUACGGGAUUAUAUGAAUCCUUGGCACUGAGGUUCAAACGAUAAGAUCUUCGUAGAAUAUGUAGGAUCCAAUAUGGGCAUCCAGGUCCCGCUAUUGGAUAUUGACCGAGGAGUCUCUCGGGUCAUGUCUACAUAGUUCUCGAACCCGCAGGGUCUGCACACUUAAGGUUCGACGUUGUUUUAUGCGUAUUUGAGUUAUAUGGUUGGUUACCGAAUGUUGUUCGGAGUCCCGGAUGAGAUCACGGACGUCACGAGGGUUUCCGGAAUGGUCCGGAAACGAAGAUUGAUAUAUAGGAUGACCUCAUUUGGUUACCGGAAGGUUUUCGUGCAUUACCGGAAAAGUUUCGGGCUCAUCGGUAGUGUACCGGGAGUGCCGGGAGGGGUGCCGGGGACCAUCGGGAGGGGUGUCACGCCCCAAGGGGUCUCAUGGGCUAUGGGAAGAGAUAAACCAGCCCCUAGUGGGCUGGAAUAAGUUCCCACUAAGGCCCAUAAGGUUUGAGAAGGAAAAAAACACAAGGUGGAAAGAGUUUCCAAGUGGGAAGGUGGAAUCCUACUCCAAGUAGGAUUGGAGUAGGACUCCUCCACCAAUUUCGGCCAAACCUUUAGGUUUUGAGGCUGCCUCCUCCCCUCCCUCCCACCUAUAUAUACGGAGGUUUUAGGGCUGAUUUGAGACGACUUUCUCACGGCUGCCCGACCACAUACCUCCAUAGUUUUUCCUCUAGAUCGUGUUUCUGCGGAGCUCGGGCGGAGCCCUGCUGAGACAAGAUCAUCACCAACCUCCGGAGCGCCGUCACGCUGCCGGAGAACUCUUCUACCUCUCCGUCUCUCUUGCUGGAUCAAGAAGGCCGAGAUCAUCGUCGAGCUGUACGUGUGCUGAACGCGGAGGUGCCGUCCGUUCGGUACUAGAUCGUGGGACUGAUCGCGGGAUUGUUCGCGGGGCGGAUCGAGGGACGUGAGGACGUUCCACUACAUCAACCGCGAUCUCUAAUCGCUUCUGCUGUACGAUCUACAAGGGUACGUAGAUCACUCAUCCCCUCUCGUAGAUGGACAUCACCAUGAUAGGUCUUCGUGCGCGUAGGAAAAUUUUUGUUUCCCAUGCGACGUUCCCCAACACUCGCUAGAUAUCUUACGAUCAUGCAAUGGCAAUAUGAGAGUGACGGCACAAGUCAUGAGACAGAACGGUGGGAGUUGAAUGGCAAUAUAUCUCGGAAUGGUUAUGAAAAUGCCAUAGUAGGUAGGUAUGGUGGCUGUUUUGAGGAAGGAAUUUGGUGGGUUUGUGCACCGGCAAGAAUUGCGCGGCACUAGAGAGGCUAGCAAUGGUGGAAGGUGAAGGUGCAUCUAUACCAUGGACUCACAUUAGUCAUGAAGAACUCACAUACUUGUUGCGAAAGUUUUUAUUAGUAAUUGAAACAAAGUGCUAAACGCAUACUCCGAGGGGAAGGGUUGGUAGGUGUUAACCAUCGCACGAUCCCGACCUCAACACAAAGGAUGACAAUCAAUAGAUCAAUUUUGCUCUGACUUCCUAACAUAGCGGUUCACCAUACGUGCAUGCUACGGGAAUCACUAACUUCAACACAAGUAUUUCUAGAUUCACAACACCCUACUAACAUAACUCUUAAUAUUACCGAAUCCACGUCUCAAAACUAAUUGAGAAGAAUCAAAACUUCUCUUUCUAUUGAAUGCACAUGAAGAUGGAGGUUUUUGUAUCCUCUUUGGGUACCUAUCACAUUUGGGACUACUUUCAUAGCAUAAGCCAACUACCAAAUCACGCACCGCCGUGCUCUAAAGAUAUAAGUGAAGCACAAGAGCAAAAGUGUCUAGCUCAAAAGAUAUAAGUGAAGCACAAGAGCAAAAGUGUCUAGCUCAAAAGAUAUAAGUGAAGCACGAGAGCAAAAGUAUCUAGCUCAAAAGAUAUAAGUCAAGCACUAUGAGCAUUCUAGCAAAAUCACGACGAGUGCAUGUCUCUCUCUCUCAAAAAGGUGUGCAGCAAGGAUGAUUGUGACACAACAAAAAGAAAAGACUCCUAUGAUACAAGACGCUCCAAGCAAAACACAUAUCAUGUGGUGAAUAAAAAUAUAGCUCCAAGUAAUGUUACCGAUGGAUUGAAGACGAAAGAGGGGAUGCCUUCCCGGGGCAUCCCCAAGCUUAGGCUUUUUGGUGUCCUUGAAUUUGUCUUGGGAUGCAUUGGGCAUCCCCAAGCUUGAGCUCUUUCCACUCCUUAUAUCAUCGUCCAUGAGAACAUCACCCAAAACUUGAAAACUUCACAACACGAAACUUAAACAGAAACUCGUGAUAACAUUAGCACAAGAAAACAAACUACCACUUCUUUUGGUACUGUAGCAAACUUGAAUUCUACCUACAUUGAUGUUGGGCUACUGUAUUCUCACUUUUCCAUGGCUAGUACCCCCCCCCCCCGAUACUAACCAUAGUUUCAUCAAAACAACCAACCAACUCAACAAAAACAGAAUCUGUCAAAAAUAGACCAGUCUGUAGCAAUCUGUAUACUUCGUAUACUUCUGUUACCUCAAAAAAUCUGAAAAAUUACGAAGGCCUGGGAAAAAACUAUAUCAAUCAGCAGCAAAAAUAAUCAACUCAAAAUCUCUUUCUGAAUAAAAAUGCAAAAUGAUCUCGUGAGCGAAAAGUUUAUGUCUUUUUCCAGCAGGAUCAAACAACCAUUACCAAGACUAGUCAUAAAGGCUUUGCUUGGCUCCAACACAAAAAGAAACACAAAAAACACAAUCACAAGAGAAUUAUGAAAGUGUGGACGCAACAAAACAGAAAGAAAAAUAUAAAUUCAUUGGGUUGCCUCCCAACAAGCGCUAUUGUUUAACGCCCUUAGCUAGGCAUUGAUAAUUCAAUGAUGCUCACACAAAAGACAAGAAUUAAGCACAACGAGAGCAUCAUAAAGCAUGUGAAAAUCACAUCUAAGUCUAACAUACUUCCUAUGCAUAUGCAUUUUAUAGGAAAACAGAUUGUCAAGACAACCAAUAGUUACCAUAUGCAAGGAAGAACAAAGAGACAAUAGUAGUCUCCACAUAACGAGAGGUAAAUUAGUAACAUGAAAGUUUGUACCAUAAUAUUUACCUCUCUCAUAGCAAUUACAUGUGGGAUCAUAUUCGAAUUCAACAAUGUAACUAUCACAUAGGAUAUUCUUUUCAUGAUCCACAUGCAUGCAAAGUUGACGCUCUUCAAAAAUAGUGGGAUUAUCAUCAACUAAAGUCGUGACUUCUCCAAACCCACUUUCAAUAAUAUUGCAAAUAUCAUAUUCAUCAUGAGGCUUAAACAAAUUUUUAAGAUCAAAAGAAAAAUCAUCGCCCCACUCAUUAUCAUUGCAACAAGUAGUGGACAUAGCAAAACUAGCAUCCCCAAGCUUAGGAUUUUGCAUAUUUUUAGCAUGAUUGUCACUAAUAGAAUUUAUAGUGAAACCAUUGCAAUCAUGCUUUUCAUGCAAGGAGCCCUCGUGAAUCACUUCAUAAAUUUCUUCCUCACAAUUUUCAGAUUCACGCAUCUCAAGCAAAACUCCAUAAAGAUAGUCAAGUGCACUCAACUCACUAGCAAUUGGAUCAACAUAAUUGGAUCUUUUAAAGAGAUUAGCAAGUGGAUGAGGAUCCAUAUCACUAGAUUUUCAGCAAGCGAAGAUGCAAGCAUAUUGAAGGCACAUGGCACACAAGCGAACAGAAAGCAAGCGAGAGAAAAGGGCGAACGAAAAAGGCAAACGAAAAAAGGCAAAUAGGUGAAGUGGGGAGAGGAAAACGAGAGGCAUCUGGCAAACAAAGUAAAUGCAAGAGAUGAGUUUGCGACACUUACUUGGAUGAGUUCUUGACUUGAUCCUCCCCGGCAACGGCGCCAGAAAUUCUUCUGCUAUCCCACAGACAAUAGCGCCAGAAAUUGACACGUUGACGGAGGUUGGGCUUGCGUUGGUUUUUCCCUUGAAGAGGAAAGGGUGAUGUAGCACAGGAGCGGUAAGUAUUUCCCUCAGUUUGAGAACCGAGGUAUCGAUCCAGAAGUAGGGUCUCGUCAAGUCCAGAGUACCUGUGCAAACACAAACAAGCUUGCACCCAACGCUUCAAAGGGGUUGUCAUUCCUUCAAGAUUGUUUGCAAAGUGAGAUCUGAAGGCGGAAAGUGCAACGAAGUAAAAAGUGUAAGGCUGAAAAUAUGGUGUGGAGUAGACCCUGGGGGCCAUAGUGUUCACUAGAGGCUUCUCUCAAAAUAGCAAGUAUUACGGUGGGUGAACAAAUUACUGUCGAGCAAUUGAUAGAACUUAUUAGCUCAGCGGUAGUACUGCUCUGGCCCCAGCGGUAGUACCGUUGAGCCAGCGGUAGUACCGCUGGAGGGUCAGCGGUAGUACCGCUGCUGCCAGUGGUAGUACCGCUGGGCUCGUGCUGUGAGUGAGGAUAACGGUUGGAUUCUUUCCCUCAUUGUAUAAAGGGUUCUUCUUUCUCAAGAACCCUACCUCUCACCCUCCCAAGCUCCAUUGUUGCUCCCUAAGCUCAUAAGUGCCCGAUCUCUCUCCCUAUCCAAUCAAACUUGUUGAUUUCCUAGGGAUUGGUUGAGAUGGCCAAGAUCUACACUUCCACCAAAAGAAAAUUGAUUCCCCCCACUAAUCCCUUGCGGAUCUUGUUACUCUUGGGUGUUUGAGCACCCUAGACGGUUGAGGUCACCUCGGAGCCACAUGCCAUUGUGGUGAAGCUCCGUGGUCUUGUUGGGAGCCUCCAAGCUUUGUGUGGAGUUAGCCCCAACCUUGUUUGUAAAGGUUCGGUCGCCGCCUUCUAGAGCACCCAUAGUGGAAUCAUGGCACCUUGCAUUGUGUGAGGGUGUGAGGAGAAUACGGUGGCCCGAGUGGCUUAUUGUGGAGCAUUGUGCCUCCACACCGCUCCAACGGAGACGUACUUCCUGUCAAAGGGAAGGAACUUCGGUAACACAUCCUUGUCUUCAUUGGUUCCACUUGUGGUUAUCUCUAAUCUUUACAUUGUGUAUGUUAUUGUUGUAGACUAUUUCUUACUUGCCUUAGCGAUUAUAGUUGGUACCAUCAUAUAGGUUGAUCACCUAGUUGUCAU
rnacentral:lncRNA from 1 species